UUUCCGUAGGUGAACCUGCGGAAGGAUCAUUAAUAAAUGGUCUACGUUUUUAAGUAGACGCUUAAUAAUCCUACCCUUUGUGAAUUUGUUUGUUCGAAAUAAUUUUUUUUAAAAUUAUUGAAUGUCUUUCCCUGUUGAAUUGGUUGUCUCUAAUGGCAAGUGAUUCGCAGGGAGUGUCAAUAAUUUUUAAAAAGACCUUUUUUAAAAUUAAACUUUUUGUAUUCAUUUGUCUAAAAUUAUUUUUAUAAUAUAAAAAACAACUUUUGACAAUGGAUCUCUUGGUUCUCGCAACGAUGAAGAACGCAGCAAAAUGCGAUAAGUAGUGUGAAUUGCAGAAUACGUGAAUCAUCGAAUCUUCGAACGCAUAUUGCACUUUUUUAGUUUACUAAAAAAGUAUGUCUGUUUGAGUAUCAGUAGAAUAUUCUCAUAAAAACUAUUGUUUUUUAUGGUUAUGAGAGUUUUACAACGAUACAAGUUGUUUCACUUUAAAUUUUUUUAAAGUUUGAAUUUUUCUAAUUUUAAAAUAAAAUUGGAUAAAAUUUUCCCGUAAAAAGGAAUAACCUAAACAAUUUUAGUUUUUUGAUUAGAAUUUUUCAUUAUAAAGGAAAAUUUAAUAAAUAACUUGAUCUCAAAUCAGAUAAGAGUACCCGCUGAACUUAAGCAUAUCAAUAAGAGGAGGAAAAGAAACUAACAAGGAUUCCCUUAGUAACGGCGAGUGAAGCGGGAAGAGCUCAAAUUUGAAAUCUUCAUGGUUUUACCUUGACGAAUUGUAGUUUAAAGAAGUGUUUUCUGUUGAAGUUUUUGGUAAAAGUUCUUUGGAAUAGGACAUCAUAGAGGGUGAGAAUCCCGUAUUUGACCAUUAUUUUCAGCUGUGUGAUACACUUUCAAAGAGUCGGAUUGUUUGGGAAUGCAGUCCAAAAUGGGUGGUAAAUUUCAUCUAAAGCUAAAUAUCGGCGAGAGACCGAUAGCGAACAAGUACCGUGAGGGAAAGAUGAAAAGAACUUUGAAAAGAGAGUUAAACAGUACGUGAAAUUGUCAAAAGGGAAGCGUUUGACACCAGUGUUGUUUUCUCGAAAAUCAAUUAAAAAAAGUUGGAUUUUGUGUUGUAUUGACCUUAACAGCUUGCUUCACUCUUUUCCUGCUUUUUUUAAUGCACUUUUCGUUUAACAAGUCAACAUCAGUUUCUUUUGUUGUAAAAGGGUCAUUGGAAGGUGGCUUUCUCUUCGGAGAAAGUGUUUAUAGCCUUUGAUCUCUGCAAUCGGAGAGACUGAGGUCUGCAGCGUAGAUCCUUCGGGGUUAGAUACAUUUGUGCUAAGCUACAGCUUUUCAUAGACAACUUGUUGACUAUGUUUAGUCUUGUAACUUACCCGCUUAUGCUAUUUUUACCUACGCUUAGGAUGUUGAA
rnacentral:misc_RNA from 1 species